AGUCAUGUCAAGGGGCCAUUUACAAAACUGCCUAGGAAACCAGCAUAACUUUGACCGAUACAUGAUGGUAGCUGCUAAAAGUCUAGAUGUCUAUUAUGCUCUUAGUUAAUACACGUUUGUCGUUUUGUGAAUAUUACGUCUUAGGAACGAAUAUGUAUGUUUGUAUAUAGGCAUGUUACAUAUAUGAACUUACAUAAUAAUCUCAUUGUGUCGAGUUAAAAUUACGCUAUUUAACAGCACGUAUUAUCGGUUUUCCUUAGUCGCGUCCGAAUUUUGAUUGACUUCGCUAGUUCUUGCCGCACAGUGUUUGAUGUAUGAUAUAGUUUGAUAUGACAACUAUAUUCAUUAAAAUAUCAAGAUGAACCUCCACCAUGUCACGCUAUUCAUGACACUCCGCGUGAUCCACACGCAAGCCCAGUUCCCAAUGCAGUUCCCUUCAGCAAUGCCCAUGCCAAUGGGCAUGCCACCCAUGCCAAUGCAAAUGCCAAUCGUCGGCCCGCCACAACUGCCAAGCGUUGUAAUGCCAUACCAUUCCCGCACAGCCGAUAAAUUUAGAGAGAAACCAAGGAAGCCAAAAAGGUCAAAGAAACCGAAAAAGAAAAGACCAAAAAAGAAACGUUACGAAUCGGAAUCCGAUUCAGACAGUUCUGAUGAUAGUCGAUCUACGUCUGGGUCUGAAAGUCUUGAAAUUAAUCUAACCCGUAGAUCUAAAGAUCACAAGAGAAGACGUGAGGUCCUCACGCCUGUGGUGUCUUACGUGACCAAUGAUGGAUAUGUGAUAUAUCAGAAAAAGAUAAAGAAGGAUCGGGCUAAGGACUGGUUGGAGUUGGGAAAGAAAUCGGAUCCUAAUGCGCUGGAAAUCAAUGAUAAUGAGAGUGAUGAGGUUGAGGGGAAGGAUUCGGUUCGGAAGCGUCGUUUCGAGUCUCGUCGUUCGCAGCGUGGCGAUUGAGUACAGGCUACAAUUUACCUACUAAGGCUUAUUUCUUUCCACUAAGGCGGAGAGAGGAGACGUGAGGGAAUCAACCGAUAGCAUUGGUUGUAAUGUAAUCCACAUCUUUUCCUCCGCUCCGCUGGUAUGAAACUAAUGAUGUUGGUUGAGUGCCGCACAUCUCUCAUCUCUACCUCAGUGGAACGCAGCAUGAUAACUAUUAAAAGCUAUUAGUGUAAAUAAAUUGAUAAAAACGUACGUUAAUGUAAAUUUGUAAUAUUUGUAUAAAAUAUGAUUGUUUCAGAUGUGUUUUAAUUGAAGUAACCUCUUCCAUUUUAGUAUUUAAUCUACUACAUAAUCAUUCCGAGUAAAAUAAAUCACAGGGCAAGGAAGUUUGAUAAAAAUUCAAAAAAAAAUUUGGGUAUCGCCCAAGGAAAAAGGACUUUAAAAAACUUCUACGAGAAGUGCAAAAUACAAACGAGUUGGGAAAACCUUUCGAUAUUUUCGACCAAAGGUGCAGUCGUUCUCAGGGGCGUAUUUACCCUAGGACCAUCCGGGCCAUGGCCCGGGGCGCCAACCUCCAGGGGCGACAUAUGUCAACCCCCAGGGGCGGCAUAUGCCGCCCCUGGCGGAAUGCAUUUUGUUUUUCUUCCUUGAAUUCUGGGGCGGCGAUACGUAUUGGCCCGGGGCGACAAAUUUCAAAAUACGGCCCUGGUCGUUCUGAUUCUUAUUGCCCAUACGACUUACAUAAAUAUCUAGUGUAUGCGCCUUUGUGUGAUUUAUGACCUAUAUGAAUUGUGUUAAUUUGUGUUACGUAAAACCUGCGAUUUUCUUCUCAGCAUGGGUUUAAGCGCAGUCUUUGUUCGUUGAAGUCUAACAACACACCUGCAGGGAGCCUGCAGGUAAACUUGCAUUAAUUGAUUUACCUACUAACGUAUAUUUAUUAGAAAUUGUAAAAUUAAAGUUGAGUUAAUCUACAGCGGCACAUAGAUAUUAGGAACAUAGAAUAUUCAUCUAUUAAUUAUUUAAUUGAUCCACCCAGGUGGCCAUAUAUUAAACCCGGGUCCAAGGGCCUAGCCAAGAAGACAUUAAUCGUUUACGUCGUAGCGAACGAAACGCCUCUCUCUCCCUAUCGCACUAAUAUGGAAGAGUGAUAGAGUCUUGGCUUGGCGCCAGAUAUGUGUAGACUAUGUUUCGUAUACUUCUUACUAUCACAACGACGGGGGCAGUCUUCACCGGCGCUCAGCAUUGGCCGUAUGUUCAGCAACAGAACUAUGCUGCAAUGCCACAAACUCCAUAUUACCCGUUCCAGCAAGGUCAGCCAUAUCCAGGCAUGCUAUUACCGUAUGGGCAAGAGUGGAUGCAAGCCAGUCCACAAAAACCACCUUGGCCCUUUAGACCAGGGUAUCUGUACGGUCCGCCGGGACAUAGGGCUCCUUUAUUUUUUGCUUCGUAGAUUAGGAAUUUUAUACGCAAUUUGUAGUUUUGGUACUUUUUCGAUGAAAAUAAAUACUAUAAUAUUAAGUUGAAUGACAGUUAAUCUUUGAAUAAUAAAAUUAUGCUUUCAAAAAUAUGUUUUAAAUAGAAAAAUACAGCUGGUUUCUGUUAUAUUGUCUAUGAUUAUUGUCUAUGGUAAGUACAGAAAUGUUGCCAGAAGAUAAAAUAAACGGAUGUUUUACAAAAAUCUGUAAUGGAGAAAGAGUUAUUGUACUAAAGAAUUUUUAAUAAAUAUUACGAAUAGAGUGAUAUUACUUACUAUCUGUUUGUAAUG